GUUGGUAGGGUAAAGGCUUACCAAGGAGGCGAUCUGUAGUUGGUCUGAGAGGAUGGCCAGCCACACUGGAACUGAGACACGGUCCAGACUCCUACGGGUGGCAGCAGUGGGGAAUAUUGGACAAUGGGCGCAAGCCUGAUCCAGCCAUGCCGCGUGUGUGAAGAAGGCCUUCGGGUUGUAAAGCACUUUAAGCGAGGAGGAAGGUUUAGUGGUUAAUACCCAUUAGAAUUGACGUUACUCGCAGAAUAAGCACCGGCUAACUCUGUGCCAGCAGCCGCGGUAAUACAGAGGGUGCAAGCGUUAAUCGGAAUUACUGGGCGUAAAGCGCGCGUAGGCGGUUUGUUAAGUCGGAUGUGAAAUCCCUGGGCUCAACCUAGGCACUGCAUCCGAUACUGGCUAACUAGAGGGUGGGAGAGGAAGGUAGAAUUCCAGGUGUAGCGGUGAAAUGCGUAGAGAUCUGGAGGAAUACCGAUGGCGAAGGCAGCCUUCUGGCCUAACACUGACGCUGAGGUGCGAAAGCAUGGGGAGCAAACAGGAUUAGAUACCCUGGUAGUCCAUGCUGUAAACGAUGUCAACUAGCCGUUGGGGACCUUGAGUCUUUAGUGGCGUAGCUAACGCGAUAAGUUGACCGCCUGGGGAGUACGGUCGCAAGACUAAAACUCAAAUGAAUUGACGGGGGCCCGCACAAGCGGUGGAGCAUGUGGUUUAAUUCGAUGCAACGCGAAGAACCUUACCUGGCCUUGACAUGUCUGGAAUCUUGUAGAGAUACGAGAGUGCCUUCGGGAAUCAGAACACAGGUGCUGCAUGGCUGUCGUCAGCUCGUGUCGUGAGAUGUUGGGUUAAGUCCCGCAACGAGCGCAACCCUUUUCUUUAUUUGCCAGCACGUAAUGGUGGGAACUCUAAAGAUACUGCCGGUGACAAACCGGAGGAAGGCGGGGACGACGUCAAGUCAUCAUGGCCCUUACGGCCAGGGCUACACACGUGCUACAAUGGUUGGUACAAAGGGUUGCUAUCCCGCGAGGGCUUGCUAAUCUCAUAAAGCCAAUCGUAGUCCAGAUUGGAGUCUGCAACUCGACUCCAUGAAGUCGGAAUCGCUAGUAAUCGCGGAUCAGAAAGCCGCGGUGAAUACGUUCCCGGGCCUUGUACACACCGCCCGUCACACCAUGGGAGUUUGUUGCACCAGAAGUAGUUAGCCUAACCGCAAGGAGGGCGAUUACCACGGUGUGGCCAAUGACUGGGGUGAAGUCGUAACAAGGUA
rnacentral:rRNA from 1 species